AGGAGACGCAGCGGAAAAAUGGGCGUGCUCGGUUUGCACUCUGUGAGCGCUUGGUAAGCGAAGCUUGGCAUUCGGCGUAAAGGCGUUUUUAGAUCCAGAAAGAGAAAAGGAGCGAACGAAUGCAGGUGUGCGCUUUGGGUCGGCCUCGCUUUCCGUUAGAAGCAUCGUCAGUGGCAAUUACGGAAACGAAACUGGCCGCGGCUCGCUCACGCUGGAGGAAGGAAUCGGGCACACCCGCGAUGACACGAAUCAGCCUGCAGGAGAGUAAGAGACUGGCACCAGCAUUGAUCGCGCAUACUUUUUCUGUCAACCUAUCUGUCUCGAUUACUUUCUGCUCAUAAAAUUCACC
rnacentral:misc_RNA from 1 species